AUGAAGCUUCUUCCUCUGUUUGUCCUUGCCAUGGUAAUGGUUAAUGCUUGCGCCGUGUCUUCUCGCACCGCGCCGAGGGACCAUGUACUAGAUGGAGUAGUGAAGAUGGCAGCGACGGGAGAGGGGACGGCGAUCGACAAUCACCAUGCGAUACCAAGGACAGAGUAUAGCAGCUGGAGCAGCCCUGGAAACAUGCCCGGAAGUGGCCAUGACAUUGCUAGCGAAGAAGCCAAACCAUAA
rnacentral:rRNA from 1 species